rnacentral:rRNA from 1 species
GACGAAUGCUGGCUGCGUGCUUAACACAUGCGAGUCGAACGGUGAAAGGGAGCUUGCUCCCUGGAUCAGUGGCGAACGGGUGAGUAACACGUGGGCAACCUGCCCCUCACUCUGGGAUAACUCCGGGAAACCGGGGCUAAUACCGGAUACGACCUGGUGCGACAUCGCACCGGGUGGAAAGAACUUCGGUGAGGGAUGGGCCCGCGGCCUAUCAGCUUGUUGGUGGGGUAACGGCCCACCAAGGCGACGACGGGUAGCCGGCCUGAGAGGGCGACCGGCCACACUGGGACUGAGACACGGCCCAGACUCCUACGGGAGGCAGCAGUGGGGAAUAUUGCGCAAUGGGCGAAAGCCUGACGCAGCGACGCAGCGUGAGGGACGAAGGCCUUCGGGUUGUAAACCUCUUUCAGCGGGGACGAAGCGAAAGUGACGGUAGGUGCAGAAGAAGGACCGGCCAAUUACGUGCCAGCCGCCGCAGUAAUAC